UCCCUGGAGGACUAGUGGUUAGGCCACGGCGCUCUCUCACUGCUGCGGCCCGGGUUUGAUUCCCAGCCAGAGAA